rnacentral:rRNA from 1 species
UACGUAGGGUCCGAGCGUUGCUCGGAAUCACUGGGCGUAAAGCGCACGUAGGCGGACUCUUAAGUCGGUGGUGAAAUCCUGGAGCUCAACUCCAGAACUGCCUUCGAUACUGAGAGUCUUGAGUCCGGGAGAGGUGAGUGGAACUGCGAGUGUAGAGGUGAAAUUCGUAGAUAUUCGCAAGAACACCAGUGGCGAAGGCGGCUCACUGGCCCGGUACUGACGCUGAGGUGCGAAAGCGUGGGGAGCGAACAGG